rnacentral:sRNA from 1 species
GCCCGCGUGGUGCAGUUGGUAAGACUGUUACCCAAGGUAGCACUGUUAGAUGUGCUGUAGGUUCGAAUCCUGCCGCUGGCAAGGUCCCUUGCGGCCACUUCUUACCCAUGAAGGCCCCCAUGACCAGGGGCUAAGCCUAGUGAGGCAGUGCUGACAGGGGUGCUGCUUGGCAGUGAUGGGGGUGGUGGCCGCUGGAAGCCGCCCUCAUUAGUGCCAAGCAGCUCCCCUGUCACUAGUGCUGAGCUAAGCAAGAUCCGAUGAUUACAGAGGGUCGAGUAUAAGGUGCUUAUACACACUAGCACCUGCCAAGGCCCCCGGCAACUAGGGGGCCACCUCAACAACAGGGAAUGAUUUUAAAAACCAUCCGAUUGGUUGCCUCAUCAGAGACAAGCCAAGCAGGACACCCUGGUAGGCGCCCUAUCCCUGGGGCCCACUGGUGGUCAUCUAACACUAUUAGUGGGUAAAACAUCGGUGGUGGGGUAAGCCUAUGGUUAGUCCCUUACACGGGGCAAGGCCACGACGGCUGGUUGGUAGGCCAAGGGGGCAAUGGGCCG